rnacentral:rRNA from 1 species
GUAAAGUUUAACUUUGCACCCGAAUAAGGUGAAUAGGUUUAUUAUCGGUUUAUUAUUCUAACUUGAUCUUUUUAUGGUGUUAAUUUUAUAGUUAACWUUWGGAUAGUGAUCCUCCCUUUUUUUUAAUUUUUUUUUUUUACUCUAAAAAGGUUGUAGAGUGGGAAGUAAUAAAGUCAGCCAUGAUAAAUUAUUUGAAAUUGGUGGCACAAAAUCGGAGGCCUCGACUGUUUUCUAAAAACACAAKAAUGUGCAAUGAUAAAAAUCAUAGUAUACGUUAUGAAAUUUGCUCGAYGCCAUUAANAUAAAAGAGGUAAUAGGAAACUGUUACUAAUUGAAAAUCUGGUUAAUAGCGGUCUUAACUAUGAGGAUCCUAAGGUAGCGAAAUCAAUUGGCCAUUAAAUGUGGUCCGGUAUCAAUAAUGUAACGAAGGUCUCACUGUCUCUACAACUUG